UAUGGAUGUAGUUGAUUAUUCACCAUUACGCGGUGACGCCUCAUCUCACUUCAAAACCCUCUUCUACCCAACUGCGCGCAUAUAUUUUCUUAGCUUAGAAAAUUUUUAUUUGCUAUUAUAGCGAUUGCCUUUUUGAUCACUUGUUAUAUUGAUUAGACUUGCAUAGUCUGUUAUUGUGAGGUUUUUCCCAAGCAUUCGCUAAGUGUAUGUGUAGAUCUGGUAAUUUUUUUUAAAAGAUACCUUGAUUAUUGAUAUUCCUAUUUUUAAAAACAAUCCUGACAUGUAAAACCAAACUGAAAUUAUAUAUACGUUCAGUUUGAUUUUAUAUCUAGCUUUCUUUGCGCUCUCAAAAAGACAGUAAUUUUAUUCAUACUAACUGUCUGUCCUCCAGCUGCACAAAAUAGCUGAUAAAGAAGCUAUGAUAAGUAUUUCGUUCAAUAGCACACAAUUGCAACAAUGCAUUAUGUAUGCUCUUAGUAGUCAACGAUGAUGUAAACUUAUGCUACUAAUUCAGUAAUAUUCAAGUCGUAUUCUUUUGGCUUGCCGACAUAUUGGUUAUUGAUCAAUAAAAGCUGUUGCAAUGGAUGAAGCCUUAAUUAGGUUGUCCAGACACGGUUGUCAAUUAUCGUCUAAUUUUAAAAUAGAUUCUUUAAGAUUUUGACAAAUAUGUUUUUUUCUAUGAUCUAAUCAAAUCCCAUUUUUCAUGUGAAAUUUCGGGAAUAAGAAUUCAUCUAUCUAUGUUUACGAAUUAAUGUAUUAUUAUCCACUUAUUGGCGAUUGAGAUUAUAUUGAGCAUGUGAUGAGCUGUUGCAAAGUUUCUUAAUUUAUAAGCCGAUAUAAGGUGCCUUAACUUUACGGUGUGGGACAGGAACAUAUACCUUUUGUUAGAGAACAUUGCAUUUUUUAAUUUAUAUCUAAAUGUCUUUACAUGGUGACAACAGUGUUAGCUAAUGUUUAUGAGGGUGAAGCUGUGUCUUUGUAUUACUUACUGCAAUGUUAUGGAUAACUGCUGAGCAUUAAAGAAAUAAAAUUAAUGAUUCUAUAUCAGCUAACAAAUAGAAGCUAAAUAUUCAAUGAGUUGUGUUCUGAACAGGGUUUGGCAUCAAAAGCAAGCAUCUAUAUCUACAAAAGAAAUUGAUGCUUGAUAUAAUUCUGCAUAGGUUGACUAUUGUAUCAACCAAACAAAGCUUACCAAAGCUUUAGAUUUCAUUUGUGUAUUCAUGAGUCUAAACAGUUCAUGGCAGCUCUGAAAGAACUCAUAAAACAUUAGCUUCUACUUUGACAAAGCUAUCAUAAUACACAACCACAUCAUUUUGUAAUCAUCUACAUAAAAGAGGUGAAGGUGAUGCUAGCAAUCCAUGGUGGGGAUGCUGGCAAGGGGUAGUGUCAGAGCUAUACCGUCGGGAACUUCGGUUCCUGGUAGGGCCACCCAAGGCAGAUUGGUCUGACACCGAGUGGUAUUAGGGCCACAACCCGGCAGAUGGGGCUCAGGUGAAAAUCCUCUGAGUGUCUGCCUCGGCAACUGGCGGCUCCUCGGUCGUUCUGUCCCUGCGUCUGCGGCAAACAGGUUGUCUCCACAUGCAGGAUUGUUGGGGAUUGCUUGUGAAAUCCACUUAUUCCCACGAAACUUCUUCCAUGAGUAGAAGAAGCUGACUCAACCCACCCAGGGCGAAUGUCGCCACAACACAAGACCAGCAACUCUGAGGGGAGAGAUUAGUCACAGUAUUAUACUAGUCAGGUGACUAAUAUUUUAUUGCAUCAACAUCAAGAGGAUGAAAAGCAAAGCUGACCAAAGCAGGAUUUGAAAUCAGAAUAUGACUGGAAGAAAUACUUCAAGUCACUUACAGAUGAAGCUAGCUCCCAUACACAAUGGACCAUAAAACAACAAAUAAGCUGUGGACACAAACAUCUUGAAGAAGAUAUCUUCUACAUUGUAAUGACCAUAAUAACCAUAUAAAUAAAAUGACAAUCUCA